rnacentral:misc_RNA from 1 species
GAAAUUGAAACAACAGUGGUGACAAGAAGAGUUGCUUUCACGAAUAAAGAGAAGAUAUCAGUGGCUUUAAUUGUAGGAAAAACCAGGAAUUUCCAGGAAUUGAAAGGAUCAUAAAUAGUUUCUCUGGGAGAAGACAUAUCUUUUCCUUUGAUAAAGGAAAGGAAAGGAAAGGAAAGAGCAGGAAAUAAUUGUAUGGGAAGAUAAGAGAGAGAGAUUGGAAUUGUAAAAGAGAUGAUGAGAGGAUUCUAGUAAUUGAC